rnacentral:rRNA from 1 species
ACGCUAGCGGGAGGCCUAACACAUGCAAGCCGAGCGGUAUUUGUCUUUCGGGACAGAGAGAGCGGCGUACGGGUGCGGAACACGUGUGCAACCUACCUUUAUCAGGGGGAUAGCCUUUCGAAAGGAAGAUUAAUACCCCAUAAUAUAUUGAUUGGCAUCAGUUAAUAUUGAAAACUCCGGUGGAUAGAGAUGGGCACGCGCAAGAUUAGAUAGUUGGUAGGGUAACGGCCUACCAAGUCAGUGAUCUUUAGGGGGCCUGAGAGGGUGAUCCCCCACACUGGUACUGAGACACGGACCAGACUCCUACGGGAGGCAGCAGUGAGGAAUAUUGGACAAUGGGUGAGAGCCUGAUCCAGCCAUCCCGCGUGAAGGACGACGGCCCUAUGGGUUGUAAACUUCUUUUGUAUAGGGAUAAACCUACUCUCGUGAGAGUAGCUGAAGGUACUAUACGAAUAAGCACCGGCUAACUCCGUGCCAGCAGCCGCGGUAAUACGGAGGGUGCAAGCGUUAUCCGGAUUUAUUGGGUUUAAAGGGUCCGUAGGCGGAUCUGUAAGUCAGUGGUGAAAUCUCAUAGCUUAACUAUGAAACUGCCAUUGAUACUGCAGGUCUUGAGUAAAGUAGAAGUGGCUGGAAUAAGUAGUGUAGCGGUGAAAUGCAUAGAUAUUACUUAGAACACCAAUUGCGAAGGCAGGUCACUAUGUUUUAACUGACGCUGAUGGACGAAAGCGUGGGGAGCGAAAC